rnacentral:tRNA from 1 species
UAGCUCAGUAGGUAGAGCGCAUCCAUGGUAAGGAUGAGGUCAUCGGUUCGAUUCCGGU